CAAAUCCAUGUUAGUUUCCUCUCUAUCAUUAACCUGCUCUCUCGUGGCAUCGUGAACAUCAAGUGCCUUUUCUGCUUCAGGUAAGGCUUUUGUUGGAUUCUGGAUACUUAAAUCAUCAUUCUCCGGAUACAGAGAAGGAGGCGGAUGGCCAGCAUUCAAUGCCUCAGAGACCAUAUCUGAUUCGGUUGACCGAAUAGGGGACGCAAUGUCCAUAUCACUACCGUCUGAAAUAAUCGAGGCACUAUGACUAUGGGGAGAUGAUUGUGUUUCGUUUCUCGAAAAACUUGUCGUUGUUGGACCUUUAGGGGAAUGGUUUUUAGCAUCAGAUGCAAAAGUUCGCUCAGGUGUGCUGUGAUUAGAUGUCGACUUUUCCGAGUCACUCUGGUGAUCUUUAGGAUACCAACGUACACGUGCAUGACUAGCAAAGGAAACUCUUCUGUUCAAACUUUUUCUAGACGUCUCACGCGACAAUUGCUGUAGGUCUUCCAUUUGAAGUCUCUUUGACGCAGCCAUAACAUUACUAGAGAUUCCAAUGACCGUGUUAUUUAUUUGUGUGUGUAUAUCAUUAAAGUCUUCAUCUCCUGUGAAAGCGGGAUCUACGGAAAAGGAUGAAUAACUCUUUAGAAUGCCUUUUGCUGGAUUUGUGUGUUCUUUAAG